AUUGGUGCUUGCAUCAUGAUUUACAUUUGAGUGAGUGGCGAACUGGUGAGUAACACGUGGGAAACCUGCCCAGAAGCGGGGGAUAACACCUGGAAACAGAUGCUAAUACCGCAUAACAACUUGGACCGCAUGGUCCGAGUUUGAAAGAUGGCUUCGGCUAUCACUUUUGGAUGGUCCCGCGGCGUAUUAGCUAGAUGGUGGGGUAACGGCUCACCAUGGCAAUGAUACGUAGCCGACCUGAGAGGGUAAUCGGCCACAUUGGGACUGAGACACGGCCCAAACUCCUACGGGAGGCAGCAGUAGGGAAUCUUCCACAAUGGACGAAAGUCUGAUGGAGCAACGCCGCGUGAGUGAAGAAGGGUUUCGGCUCGUAAAACUCUGUUGUUAAAGAAGAACAUAUCUAAGAGUAACUGUUCAGGUAUUGACGGUAUUUAACCAGAAAGCCACGGCUAACUACGUGCCAGCAGCCGCGGUAAUACGUAGGUGGCAAGCGUUGUCCGGAUUUAUUGGGCGUAAAGCGAGCGCAGGCGGUUUUUUAAGUCUGAUGUGAAAGCCUUCGGCUCAACCGAAGAAGUGCAUCGGAAACUGGGAAACUUGAGUGCAGAAGAGGACAGUGGAACUCCAUGUGUAGCGGUGAAAUGCGUAGAUAUAUGGAAGAACACCAGUGGCGAAGGCGGCUGUCUGGUCUGUAACUGACGCUUAGGCUCGAAAGUAUGGGUAGCAAACAGGAUUAGAUACCCUGGUAGUCCA
rnacentral:rRNA from 1 species